UACAUUAAGACUGGAAAAGAAUGGCCCAGAUCCUCUGGACUCCUCAGAUGAGCGGAUUCAGAGAGAAGCUUUUGAGAGCGUGCUGGCGGAGACAUUUUUCACAAAAGAGCCCUUGCGGUGCUGGUGUCCGUGGCGUGCCUGGGUGGAAAAUGAGCUUAUAUAUGAAGAAGUCAGCGAGUGGACAAAGCCAGGCGCAAUGGAUAGCAAAGAUGUGGAAGUCUCCUCGAUUCAAGUUACAAGAAAACCGCAGCAUGGAGUCUGCUCUCAGCUGUUGGGGAAUUACCGAUGCCUUUGACUAAGUCAAGACUGACUUUUCCAGAAUAUCACCCAAGAGAUAGAGCCGUCCCUGUCCAAGUUUGUGCGCUAGCCCUUCAUGGAGGUCAGAGAGGAAGAAACAAAGGCAGCUGUGGCCUCGGCGGUCACAGUGUCAGAACGCACAAGCCCCAUAAAGAGGUUUCACGCAGGCCACCCAUCCCUUUUCAUUCUCCAGCAGAACAGGACAGAGAGCGUUCUGUUCUGCGGAAGGUCUUCCACUCUACAAGGCAAUCCCUCCAGCUGCUUUGCUGUAUUGUGCUGUCUCCUGUCACACUAUGAAUGCAGUGACCUCAGCCAGCAACAGGGAGAACCCCCCUGCCUCCCGAACAAAGGACCUCACGUGAAAUCCUGAGCUCAGAGCUUACAGAUAUGUGUGCGCUUUCACUUUACAUCGGCCGUGACUUCCAAACAACUUCAGGAAACUUUAGGAUCUCUGAGGUAUACUGGAGAUGACAGCAGCGUAGAAUGUUCAUUUGGAUUUAGAACAGAAAUGCUUAUUUUAUAUUUGGCUGCUCCCAAACUGUCCCCAGACUUCCUCUCCAGUGGUUACCCUCCACUGCCCUGGAUGUCCCACGUUUACACUCCACACUCACACCUCCACCUUAACAAAGUCCUCCACUGGGUCAAACCAUACAUCGCUUCGUCUCUGUAGUGAUGACUUCCUGUCCUCUGCUCUGUGGAUAAAGACCCCAGAUAAAGAUGCCUGUGUUGCUCAACUCUUGUAAAUACUCUUGAGACAUUUUGAAAGCAGAAGGAAAGGAGACAGACGGGGAAAAUAAAAGGGAUGGUCUGCUUGUGCGGAAACGUUUUGAGAAUGCCCUUCCCUAAGAGAGAACAGUAAAAGUGAGCAAUACUUCCUGAGCUGUGGGUUCAUAUGGCUGGACUGUGCUGUUUCUCACGGGAGAAGUUCUCGUCUCCCCUGCGUGUACAUCCCUGUUUGCCAGCCUGGCCUUCGGUGUGGUGAUAUCAUGGUGCACUCCCAGGAGGGAAGUGCUUGGUCAAGACUUCUGCUUGGGUUCGACUAUCAGUUCUGGUUUCCUUUAAGGCACAGGAUCUUCCCUUUAAGGCACAAACACCCCCUUGACACAAAGUAAGGGACAAGGGAACUUUAAACCAUUUGGAAACCCAAGCACAAUAGGCUGUAGGUUGUAAAAAGAAAUUACAAAGGUAAUUUUAUCCAGAAGAGGGAGCAGUUUAACUUCUGCAGGGUAAGAUUCAGAUUCACUUUUGUAACUGAACAGGGAAUUUUCUAAAUAUUUUGAAAAUGCCGAAA
rnacentral:lncRNA from 1 species